CGAGACAAACGACAAACAAUUCUUUUUAACCAAGAAGACGUCAUGUCAAUGGCUUUAAAGGAUUGUUAUUGACCUGUGGCAGUUGGUAUUAACGCCAUGAAGACAUCGUUUAAAGAAGUUGCUAUUGAAGUUUGAUGAAGGACAGUUUGUAGUUACUGAGUCAAUGACAGUUUUAUAACUAGAACCAACAGCUUUCAGUUUGGGAUAUAAUGGCAGAUUGGAAUAAG